rnacentral:rRNA from 1 species
CGGACGGGUGAGUAACGCGUGGAUAACCUGCCUCACACUGGGGGAUAACAGUUAGAAAUGGCUGCUAAUACCGCAUAAGCGCACAGUACCGUAUGGUACGGUGUGAAAAACCCAGGUGGUGUGAGAUGGAUCCGCGUCUGAUUAGCCAGUUGGCGGGGUAACGGCCCACCAAAGCGACGAUCAGUAGCCGACCUGAGAGGGUGACCGGCCACAUUGGGACUGAGACACGGCCCAA